rnacentral:rRNA from 1 species
GACGAACGCUGGCGGCGUGCCUAAUACAUGCAAGUUGAGCGCUGAAGGUUGGUACUUGUACCAACUGGAUGAGCAGCGAACGGGUGAGUAACGCGUGGGGAAUCUGCCUUUGAGCGGGGGACAACAUUUGGAAACGAAUGCUAAUACCGCAUAAAAACUUUAAACACAAGUUUUAAGUUUGAAAGAUGCAAUUGCAUCACUCAAAGAUGAUCCCGCGUUGUAUUAGCUAGUUGGUGAGGUAAAGGCUCACCAAGGCGAUGAUACAUAGCCGACCUGAAAGGGUGAUCGGCCACAUUGGGACUGAGACACGGCCCAAACUCCUACGGGAGGCAGCAGUAGGGAAUCUUCGGCAAUGGACGAAAGUCUGACCGAGCAACGCCGCGUGAGUGAAGAAGGUUUUCGGAUCGUAAAACUCUGUUGGUAGAGAAGAACGUUGGUGAGAGUGGAAGCUCAUCAAGUGACGGUAACUACCCAGAAAGGGACGGCUAACUACGUG